rnacentral:rRNA from 1 species
CUCCUACGGGAGGCAGCAGUGGGGAAUAUUGGACAAUGGGGGGAACCCUGAUCCAGCCAUGCCGCGUGUGUGAAGAAGGCCUUUUGGUUGUAAAGCACUUUAAGCGAGGAGGAGGCUCCUAUAGAUAAUACCUAUAGUGAGUGGACGUUACUCGCAGAAUAAGCACCGGCUAACUCUGUGCCAGCAGCCGCGGUAAUACAGAGGGUGCGAGCGUUAAUCGGAUUUACUGGGCGUAAAGCGUACGUAGGCGGCUUUUUAAGUCGGAUGUGAAAUCCCUGAGCUUAACUUAGGAAUUGCAUUCGAUACUGGGAAGCUAGAGUAUGGGAGAGGAUGGUAGAAUUCCAGGUGUAGCGGUGAAAUGCGUAGAGAUCUGGAGGAAUACCGAUGGCGAAGGCAGCCAUCUGGCCUAAUACUGACGCUGAGGUACGAAAGCAUGGGGAGCAAACAGGAUUAGAUACCCUGGUAGUCCAUGCCGUAAACGAUGUCUACUAGCCGUUGGGGCCUUUGAGGCUUUAGUGGCGCAGCUAACGCGAUAAGUAGACCGCCUGGGGAGUACGGUCGCAAGACUAAAACUCAAAUGAAUUGACGGGGGCCCGCACAAGCGGUGGAGCAUGUGGUUUAAUUCGAUGCAACGCGAAGAACCUUACCUGGUCUUGACAUAGUAAGAACUUUCCAGAGAUGGAUUGGUGCCUUCGGGAACUUACAUACAGGUGCUGCAUGGCUGUCGUCAGCUCGUGUCGUGAGAUGUUGGGUUAAGUCCCGCAACGAGCGCAACCCUUUUCCUUAUUUGCCAGCGGGUUAAGCCGGGAACUUUAAGGAUACUGCCAGUGACAAACUGGAGGAAGGCGGGGACGACGUCAAGUCAUCAUGGCCCUUACGACCAGGGCUACACACGUGCUACAAUGGUCGGUACAAAGGGUUGCUACCUAGCGAUAGGAUGCUAAUCUCAAAAAGCCGAUCGUAGUCCGGAUUGGAGUCUGCAACUCGACUCCAUGAAGUCGGAAUCGCUAGUAAUCGCGGAUCAGAAUGCCGCGGUGAAUACGUUCCCGGGCCUUGUACACACCGCCCGU